UGGGGGAUAUUGGACAAUGGGGGCAACCCUGAUCCAGCGAUGCCGCGUGUGUGAAGAAGGCCUGAGGGUUGUAAAGCACUUUCAGUUGGGAGGAGUAUGUGAAGGUUAAGAGCUAUCAUAUAGGACGUUACCGACAGAAGAAGCACCGGCUAACUCCGUGCCAGCAGCCGCGGUAAUACGGAGGGUGCGAGCGUUAAUCGGAAUUAUUGGGCGUAAAGGGUGCGUAGGUGGGGAUAUAAGUUAUCUGUGAAAACCCUGGGCUUAACCUAGGGCUGAGAGAUGUUACUGUAUUUCUAGAGUAUAGAAGAGGGUAGUGGAAUUUCCGGUGUAGCGGUGAAAUGCGUAGAGAUCGGAAGGAACACCGGUGGCGAAGGCGGCUACCUGGUCUAAUACUGACACUGAGGCACGAAAGCGUGGGUAGCGAACAGG
rnacentral:rRNA from 1 species